GGCCGGCACUGCGAUCCUCUCAUCGCGGGAAGCUAUUUGCUCAGAAGAAUCAUAGAAGGCUGGUUGCGACCAUGGAGCAGGCUGGGGCCACGGAGGGGGCUGUGCCGGGCCAGCAACUGGGCUUGAUAUCCCCCUGGAGAAGGCUUCUGGUGGAGGUGAGACUGCAGAGUAUGGUGGUGGCGCAGGGAAGUCAGGGAUGGGACUUGUCACACUCUGUGUUGGGGAGAAUGGGGCCGCUGUCUGGUUCACAGAUCCCAGGAAGGGCUUGGCGGUUCUGUUCAUGGGGAUCAUCCUCUGGGGCCCUGCUGUCUCAGACACUCCACUGAAGCCAUUCUGUUGUGGCACACUGCCAAGACUGCGUCCCAUCUGGAAGGAGCUCUCACUCACAGAGCUCUGCAUUCUCACCGAUUCUUCUUUUCUUUGAUAAGAAGUCAUGGUUCUCAGACCGUCCGUCUGUAGGGCAUCUGAUCCUCCGCCUGCUAGCCCACCGGUCUUUUCCUCUUCAUUUUGGGCUGUGAACUGUUCCAUCCUCUCUCUCCUCUUGGCAAACAUGAGCGCUCCCUUGCCUGUGGUGUCGGGCAACAUCUCCAUCUUGUCGCCUCGGUUCAGCCUCUUUUCAAUGUCCACCAGUCCAGAAUCCCAAUCGAAGUUCACAACUUGGGUGUUGUCGUCCACGUCAGACAGUAACUCUUCAUCCACUUCCGACUCGCUGGUUCCAAGAAAUGCAAGGUCACUUAUCUCGUCCUUGUCACCUGCUUCCUGGUCCUCCUCUUCCUCCUCUCGCUCAAGCUCUCCAGUACCGUAACUGACUAGGGUGUACUUCCGGGCUCUCCGCCUCCGCUUCUUAAACAUCAACACCCCCUUGGAGUUCGGGUUGGGAGCAUCCGUUAGGAGGAGGGCGAUGCUUUUGCAUUUAGACUUGGCUUCUUUUACUUGCUUUUCAGACAGACUUUCACUCCUCCUGAGCCGGGCAUGCCUCGCUCUGUGCUUGUGUGGUCUGCCCUGGUCCUUUCCCGAGCGU
rnacentral:lncRNA from 1 species